ACAUAACCAUGAAAACCCGUUGCUUAUGAAAACAGACUGGAGAAAAUGUGGUUAGGAAUUUACGAAUGAAAUUUCAGGGACAAUCAGAACUAAUAGUUAUCCAAUCCACUUCCUCUUUUCAAUUGCAUCUGCAAUUCCAGCCGAAUGGGUACAAAAUCUAUCCAUAGGACAGAUAAACACAGUUAGUCAGCACAGUUAACAUUGUUUGCAUCCCAGAACCAUAACUUUCAUUAGAGGGUCAUAAUUAGGAGCACCAGAAAAACACACAAUGUUCACACAAAGGGGUUAGUUACCUCAGCAAAUUAAGAGGUCAGGAAGUACUUGGUGAAGCUCUAAUGGAGGCUCUCACCGCUGCAUAAAAACCAACAGCUAAGGUACAAAAUCUAUUAGGGUUUAAAUCAUUAUGUCUUUUCAAUUGCAUCUGCAAUUCCAGCCAAAUGGGUACAAAAUCCAUCCAUAGGACAGAUAAACACAGUUAGUCAGCACAGUUGUUUUGCAUCACAGAACCAUAACUUUCAUUAG
rnacentral:lncRNA from 1 species